GGGGGAAUUUUGGACAAUGGGGGAAACCCUGAUCCAGCCAUGCCGCGUGCAGGAUGAAGGCCUUCGGGUUGUAAACUGCUUUUGUACGGAACGAAAAGACUCUUUCUAAUACAGAGGGUCCAUGACGGUACCGUAAGAAUAAGCACCGGCUAACUACGUGCCAGCAGCCGCGGUAAUACGUAGGGUGCAAGCGUUAAUCGGAAUUACUGGGCGUAAAGCGUGCGCAGGCGGUUAUAUAAGACAGAUGUGAAAUCCCCGGGCUCAACCUGGGAACUGCAUUAGUGACUGUAUAGCUGGAGUGCGGCAGAGGGGGAUGGAAUUCCGCGUGUAGCAGUGAAAUGCGUAGAUAUGCGGAGGAACACCGAUGGCGAAGGCAAUCCCCUGGGCCUGCACUGACGCUCA
rnacentral:rRNA from 1 species